UACGUAGGGUGCGAGCGUUAAUCGGAAUUACUGGGCGUAACGCGUGCGCAGGCGGUUUUGUAAGCCAGAUGUGAAAGCCCCGGGCUUAACCUGGGAAUGGCAUUUGGGACUGCAAGGCUAGAGUGUGGCAGAGGAGACUGGAAUUCCUGGUGUAGCAGUGAAAUGCGCAGAUAUCGGGAAGAACACCCGUGGCGAAGGCGGCUCUCUGGGACGGUACUGACGCUGAGACGCGAAAGCGUGGGGAGCGAACAGG
rnacentral:rRNA from 1 species